AGGACGAACGCUGGCGGCGUGCCUAACACAUGCAAGUCGAACGGGGGUAGCAAUACCCCAGUGGCGAACGGGUGCGUAACACGUGAAGAACUUGUCCAUCGGCGGGGGAUAGCCGGCCCAACGGCCGGGUAAUACCGCGUACGCCGUCUGAAGCGCAUGCUUCGGCCGGGAAAGCAGCAAUGCACCGAUGGAGAGCUUCGCGGCCCAUCAGCUAGUUGGCGGGGUAAUGGCCCACCAAGGCGACGACGGGUAGCUGGUCUGAGAGGAUGAUCAGCCACACUGGGAUUGAGAACGGCCCAGACUCCUACGGGGGCAGCAGUGAGGAAUUUUCGUCAAUGGGGGAAACCCUGAACGAGCAACGCCGCGUGCAGGAAGACACUUUUCGGAGCGUAAACUGCUUUUCUCGGGGACGAGUAAGGACGGUACCCGAGGAAUCACGCCCGGCUAACUACGUGCCAGCAGCCGC
rnacentral:rRNA from 1 species